AUUGAACGCUGGCGGCAUGCCUUACACAUGCAAGUCGAACGGCAGCACGGACUUCGGUCUGGUGGCGAGUGGCGAACGGGUGAGUAAUGUAUCGGAACGUACCUUUCAGUGGGGGAUAACGUAGCGAAAGUUACGCUAAUACCGCAUAUUCUGUGAGCAGGAAAGCAGGGGAUCGCAAGACCUUGCGCUGAUUGAGCGGCCGAUAUCAGAUUAGCUAGUUGGUGGGGUAAGGGCCUACCAAGGCUACGAUCUGUAGCGGGUCUGAGAGGAUGAUCCGCCACACUAGAACUGAGACACGGUCCAGACUCCUACGGGAGGCAGCAGUGGGGAAUAUUGGACAAUGGGCGCAAGCCUGAUCCAGCAAUGCCGCGUGUGUGAAGAAGGCCUGCGGGUUGUAAAGCACUUUUGUUCGGGAAGAAUCAUGUCGGUUAAUACCUGAUGUGGAUGACGGUACCGAAAGAAUAAGCACCGGCUAACUUCG
rnacentral:rRNA from 1 species